rnacentral:rRNA from 1 species
AGAGUUUGAUCAUGGCUCAGGACGAACGCUGGCGGCGUGCCUAACACAUGCAAGUCGAGCGGACCGACCCCGCCUCUUCGGAGACGGGACAGGUCAGCGGCGAACGGGUGAGUAACACGUGGGCAACCUGCCCCGAAGAUCGGGAUAACUCCGGGAAACCGGGGCUAAUACCGGAUACCUUGGCUUUACCGCAUGGCGGAGCCAAGAAAGGUAGCUUUGCUUCCGCUUCGGGAUGGGCCCGCGUCCCAUUAGCUUGUUGGCGGGGUAACGGCCCACCAAGGCGACGAUGGGUAGCCGGCCUGAGAGGGUGUACGGCCACACUGGGACUGAGAUACGGCCCAGACUCCUACGGGAGGCAGCAGUGAGGAAUAUUGCGCAAUGGGCGAAAGCCUGACGCAGCGACGCCGCGUGGACGACGAAGGCCUUCGGGUUGUAAAGUCCUGUCAGGAGGGACGAAGUGGCUUCGGCCAUGACGGUACCUCGGUAGGAAGCUCCGGCUAACUACGUGCCAGCAGCCGCGGUAAGACGUAGGGGGCUAGCGUUGUCCGGAAUCACUGGGCGUAAAGAGCUCGUAGGCGGUCUGUUAAGUCGGGUGUGAAAGCCCUCGGCUCAACCGAGGAAUUGCAUUCGAUACUGGCGGGCUAGAGUCUAGCAGAGGGAAGUGGAAUUCCCGGUGUAGCGGUGAAAUGCGCAGAUAUCGGGAAGAACACCGGUGGCGAAGGCGGCUUCCUGGGCUAUGACUGACGCUGAGGAGCGAAAGCUAGGGGAGCGAACAGGAUUAGAUACCCUGGUAGUCCUAGCCGUAAACGAUGGGCACUAGGUGUGGGGGGUUACCAACUCCCUCCGUGCCGAAGCUAACGCAUUAAGUGCCCCGCCUGGGGAGUACGGCCGCAAGGCUAAAACUCAAAUGAAUUGACGG